rnacentral:rRNA from 1 species
UGGGGAAUUUUGGACAAUGGGCGAAAGCCUGAUCCAGCAAUGCCGCGUGUGUGAAGAAGGCCUUCGGGUUGUAAAGCACUUUUGUCCGGAAAGAAAUCCUUGGCUCUAAUACAGUCGGGGGAUGACGGUACCGGAAGAAUAAGCACCGGCUAACUACGUGCCAGCAGCCGCGGUAAUACGUAGGGUGCAAGCGUUAAUCGGAAUUACUGGGCGUAAAGCGUGCGCAGGCGGUUUGCUAAGACCGAUGUGAAAUCCCGGGCUCAACCUGGGAACUGCAUUGGUGACUGGCAGGCUAGAGUAUGGCAGAGGGGGGUAGAAUUCCACGUGUAGCAGUGAAAUGCGUAGAGAUGUGGAGGAAUACCGAUGGCGAAGGCAGCCCCCUGGGCCAAUACUGACGCUCAUGCACGAAAGCGUGGGGAGCAAACAGGAUUAGAUACCCUGGUAGUCCACGCCCUAAACGAUGUCAACUAGUUGUUGGGGAUUCAUUUCCUUAGUAACGUAGCUAACGCGUGAAGUUGACCGCCUGGGGAGUACGGUCGCAAGAUUAAAACUUAAAUGAAUUGACGGGGUCAUAGCUGUUUCCU